CGCGCCGCCGGUUCCCCGAUGGCGGAGGACUCAGGCGCCAUCCUCCGCCACAUCUCCUCCCUCAAGGACAUGCUUGACAAGGUCAAUGAAGAGAUUGAACAGAAUAUACAAAGGACCAGGGAAACAGAGUCAGAAAUAGUGAAGCAUUCUGAAACUGAAAAGGACUAUCUCGUGAAGGAGUCUGAGCUAAUGAAAGGAGUAUCGGUUGCUGAGUUUGAACUUGAUGGGCUUAUGCAAGUGGAAGCUGCUGGAACAGAUUCACUUAAAGCGAUGGAGGGCAAUUUGGAAUUCCGGAAAGCUACUCUGAAUGCAAUUAGGAAACUAUUCUACGAUAAAAUGGAAAGGUUCAUCGCGGAAUCUAGAGACUUCCAAGUUAACAUGCUUGGAGGUUCAAAUGAGGAUUUGCUUCUCCUACUAAAGGAAAGAGAUUCACUAGAGAAUGAGAGUGAGAACUUGAGGAUGAAGAUCAACGCCAUACAAAGUUCAUUAAAGGAAUACAUUGCUGAGAUUCUUGAGGAGGUAAAUGUGGAAAAUUCAGUUCUGGAGUCUGAUGUACAGUAUAGGAUUUCGGAAUACAUGGAAAUUCUCAAGGAUAUAAACAACCUGAAGAUUCUAUUUAGUUCGAGCAAUUCUUAA
rnacentral:rRNA from 1 species